rnacentral:lncRNA from 1 species
GCGGCCUGCAGACUCCAUGCCUUUCGGCGUCCACCCUCGCGCCCCAGUCCCGGCCCACUGCGUACCCCUUCCCUGACCUGGACCUUUCCGGGCCGUGUGCUCCUAGUCGUCCUCUCCUCGAGGUGCCCCGCUGUGACCAGCAGACCUGCACACAGACGCAAGACAGGGUAGGGGGCGGGGAGUGGGGAGGAGGGACGGACUGACUGACACCCCCCACCCCCCACUUUCUGGGCACCAGCCACUGCCUGCACGCUCCCCUAGCUCUCGGGUUCUCUUUUCGUCUCAGCCCCUGCGUCAAGCUUCGUCCUCCGUGCUCCCACCUCCCCACCCCGCAAAGCUUGCCAUUUCUUUUCAGAUGAGAAGUGGAAGCGAAGCAUUUUUAGAAACUAUUUCCAAAUGUCUGUACCCCCCUCCCGGGGGACGGGGGAGGUACUCGCCUCCCCACCCCGCCCCAAAGACCACCAUAUUUUGCACAGAAAUGUGGGCGCGGGGGGCGGGGCUGGAGCUUAGGGAAAGGCCUGGACUCCGCCAUCCCGAUUCUGUCAACCCCAUUCCCCGGGUUACUAGGCAGCGCCGACACUCACACCGAUUUAAGAGGGUAGAGGGAACUUACUUCUUCUGCUUUCCCUCUCGACCAAAGGGUAAUAGGGAGAUGGUGGACAGGCAAAAAAAAGACCGGGACGAGAGGGACUUGGGCACAUAGAGGCUCCUGGUCACGUGAGGGACGCGCGUCACUGCCGAACUCAGAUCCCCAGUUACCACUUUGAUCUGCGGCCCUGCCGCAGCCACCUGCUAGUGCCUGCUAGUGUUCUCUGACCCGAGACACACCAGGCAUUGUCACUCACCUCUCUUUGUAUUUGCCUUUUCCUGGUUGCCAGAGACGGUCCGCAUCUAGUCUCGGGUAGUAUUGCCUCUUCCUCUGUGCUACUUCCCCUAGUACCACCUCUUUCUCCCCUCCUCCCUUCCUUAGCCACCAAGGCCCCUUAUUUCCCCUGCAGUUCAGAUCCUGCACUGACGUUUGACUGUUCACCUUCAUAAAUCAGUAUUAUAUCCUUAUAUCCCAACACUCUCAGUUUUAAUCCACAUCCGUAUCUCCAUCAUGUCCAUUUAGGCUCAUUCAGCAUGUUUCAUCUCUUGUCACUUUCAUGGGAGACAAUCUUUCACUUUUUCUUGACAUCACAUUUUGUUUUUUUGAGCCCCCAGAUCUAAAUUGGUAAUCAUUCAGUUCGAGACCUGUAGAAAGAGUUGAGUUUGUAAAGUUUGUAGAUCUAAAAAGAAUGAAUACUUUGAUUUUCAUAAAUCAAAUACGUAUUUGUCCAUCUAAGUACAAACAGUCCAGAACACUUAUUAUCUGAAAUGGGAUAGUCCUUGGUGGAGAGCUUGGCAUUAUUCUCUCUAUGUGUGUAUAUAUAUACACACAUAUAUAUGCGUGUAUAUAUAUACACGCAUAUAUAUGCAUGUAUACACACUGAAUAGAUUAUAAAAUAUAUUUAUAUACAUGUGUACAUAUAUAUAAAUUAUUCAGUAGUUAUUCAUAAUAGAAUAAAUAGAUUUUACUGGGACUCUCAAUCCUUAACCAGCCACCUCUUGGUGCUUCUGGUUGAGGAAGUUUAUAUUAAUUCACUAAAUCAACAAAUAUUUGAGUUCUGGGACUGCUGGACCCCAAAAGAUAGAUGCAGCAGGGAGGGCAUUCCAUAUUAAACUAUGCAAUAAUUCUGUUGACCACAUACUGAAUAGCAGGACUACAAUUAUGCUAGCAUUUUCAAUUGUCAUUGCAAUAUGUAUUUUUUUUUAUCUAACAGUAUUUUAUGAUCUUUAACCUUAUGCCUGCCUCUCAUCUACUCACAUCAGCCUGGAUGCUACUUUCUUAUGCAGAUGCUCUUUCCCCUACAGAGCAUACUACUUCCCUUCCCUCUGUGUUUUACACUUUCAGGGUAGAUGACCAUCUGAUCUGUGAGGAUCCUGGGAUUUUGUUUUAAAGCCAGGCUGUUUAGUAAGUUUCUGAACAGAAAUUCAUGUGAAAUUUCCCCUUUUAAGAACUGUUUGUUGCUUUUCUCUGAUAUCUGAUUAACUUUGUGUUGAGAUAGCAUUUAGACAAAUAUUAGUUUACCUUCAUAUCUUUUUUAUAACUGUUUUACUUUCCAAUUUCUCUGUGAGAUGUGUCUUUAAAACCAAGUUUCACUAUGCCUUCUUAUUUUUUCAUCAAGGGUUGGUUUCUCAUUUGUAUAGUUUCUUUCCUAGAGAAGUCCCAUUUCAUUCAUUUCUAUCCUUAUUCUUCUUAAAUCCUGUGAUGGAGAACUCACUGCCUUAUAAGAUAUCUCACUGAAAUCUCAGAAAGUUCUAAUCAUUCAGAGUUUUAAAAUUAAUUAAUUAAUUGAUUUUUGCUUCUGUUGAGUUAAAAUCUGCCUCCCAGUAGUUUACACACAUUGGUCCUGGCUCUGCCCUGUGGAGUGGUACAGAACAGGUAUAAAAUAAUAAAAGUACCUUUCAUCCUUGACAGCUUAAAAUUGCCACAGCUUCUAUUCUGGUUCUUUCCCCUUCCAUUCUGUGAGACACACUAGGCAAUCUACUCAAUCUUCUGUGACUCAGCUUCCUCAUCUACAACAUUGGAGACAAUAAUAGUACCUACCUCAUAGAAUUGUAAGAGGAAUAACUGAGUCAAUGAGUCAACCUAUGUAAAGGAUCUGGAAUAGAGCCUAGCACAUAGAAAGCACUCU